rnacentral:rRNA from 1 species
UACGUAGGGUGCAAGCGUUGUCCGGAAUUAUUGGGCGUAAAGAGCUCGUAGGCGGUCUGUCACGUCGGCUGUGAAAACCCGAGGCUCAACCUCGGGCCUGCAGUCGAUACGGGCAGACUAGAGUUCGGUAGGGGAGACUGGAAUUCCUGGUGUAGCGGUGAAAUGCGCAGAUAUCAGGAGGAACACCGGUGGUGUAAACGGCUUUCUGGACCAUAACUGACGCUGAGGCACGAAAGCGUGGGUAGCAAACAGG